UGGAGCAUGUGGUUUAAUUCGAUGCAACGCGAAGAACCUUACCUGGUCUUGACAUCCACAGAACUUUCCAGAGAUGGAUUGGUGCCUUCGGGAACUGUGAGACAGGUGCUGCAUGGCUGUCGUCAGCUCGUGUUGUGAAAUGUUGGGUUAAGUCCCGCAACGAGCGCAACCCUUAUCCUUUGUUGCCAGCGGUCCGGCCGGGAACUCAAAGGAGACUGCCAGUGAUAAACUGGAGGAAGGUGGGGAUGACGUCAAGUCAUCAUGGCCCUUACGACCAGGGCUACACACGUGCUACAAUGGCGCAUACAAAGAGAAGCGACCUCGCGAGAGCAAGCGGACCUCAUAAAGUGCGUCGUAGUCCGGAUUGGAGUCUGCAACUCGACUCCAUGAAGUCGGAAUCGCUAGUAAUCGUGGAUCAGAAUGCCACGGUGAAUACGUUCCCGGGCCUUGUACACACCGCCCGUCACACCAUGGGAGUGGGUUGCAAAAGAAGUAGGUAGCUUAACCUUCGGGAGGGCGCUUACCACUUUGUGAUUCAUGACUGGGGUGAAGUCGUAACAAGGUAACCGUAGGGGAACCUGCGGUUGGAUCACCUCCUUACCUUAAAGAAGC
rnacentral:rRNA from 1 species